rnacentral:rRNA from 1 species
AUUGAACGCUGGCGGCAGGCCUAACACAUGCAAGUCGAACGGUAACAGGAAGCAGUUUGUUGCUUUGCUUACGCGUGGCGGACGGGAGUGUAAUGUCUGUGACACAGCUUGAUGGCGGGGGUUAACUACUGGAAACGGUACCAAAUACCGCAUAUCUAUUCAAGCCCAAAGAGGGGGACCUUCAGGCCUCUUUCCAUUGGAUGUGCCCGGAUUGCAUUAGCUAGUAGGUAGGGUAACGGCUUACCAAGGCAACGAUGCGUAGCCGGUCUGAGAGGAUGACCGGCCACACUGGAACUGAGACACGGUCCAGACUCCUACGGGAGGCAGCAGUGGGGAAUAUUGCGCAAUGGGCGAAAGCCUGAUGCAGCCAUGCCGCGUGAAUGAUGAAGGCCUUCGGAUUGUAAAGUACUUUCAGCGGGGAGGAAGGAAGGUGAAUUAAUCCAUUUACUCAUUGACGUUACCCAAAGAAGAAGCCCCGGCUAACUCCGUG